rnacentral:rRNA from 1 species
UACGUAGGUGGCGAGCGUUGUCCGGAAUUACUGGGCGUAAAGGGCUCGUAGGCGGCCAACUAAGUCAGACGUGAAAUCCCUCGGCUUAACCGGGGAACUGCCUCUGAUACUGGAUGGCUUGAGAUUGGGAGAGGGAUGCGGAAUUCCAGGUGUAGCGGUGAAAUGCGUAGAUAUCUGGAGGAACACCGGUGGCGAAGGCGGCAUCCUGGACCAACACUGACGCUGAGGAGCGAAAGCCAGGGGAGCAAACGGG